GAUGAACGCUAGCUACAGGCUUAACACAUGCAAGUCGAGGGGCAGCAUUUUAGUUUGCUUGCAAACUGAAGAUGGCGACCGGCGCACGGGUGAGUAACACGUAUCCAACCUGCCGAUAACUCCGGGAUAGCCUUUCGAAAGAAAGAUUAAUACCGGAUGGCGUACGAAUAUCGCAUGAUAUUUUUAUUAAAGAAUUUCGGUUAUCGAUGGGGAUGCGUUCCAUUAGUUUGUUGGCGGGGUAACGGCCCACCAAGACUACGAUGGAUAGGGGUUCUGAGAGGAAGGUCCCCCACAUUGGAACUGAGACACGGUCCAAACUCCUACGGGAGGCAGCAGUGAGGAAUAUUGGUCAAUGGGCGAGAGCCUGAACCAGCCAAGUAGCGUGAAGGAUGAAGGCUCUAUGGGUCGUAAACUUCUUUUAUAUGGGAAUAAAGUAUUCCACGUGUGGAAUUUUGUAUGUACCAUAUGAAUAAGGAU
rnacentral:rRNA from 1 species